rnacentral:rRNA from 1 species
CCUACGGGGGGCAGCAGUGAGGAAUAUUGGUCAAUGGGCGAGAGCCUGAACCAGCCAAGUCGCGUGAGGGAGUACUGCCCUAUGGGUUGUAAACCUCUUUUGUCGGUGAGCAAAAGCCGGACGUGUCCGGCUGUGAGAGUACCCGAAGAAAAAGCAUCGGCUAACUCCGUGCCAGCAGCCGCGGUAAUACGGAGGAUGCGAGCGUUAUCCGGAUUUAUUGGGUUUAAAGGGUGCGCAGGCGGAUUUUUAAGUCAGCGGUAAAAUCGUGGGGCUCAACCCCAUCCAGCCGUUGAAACUGGGGAUCUAGAGUGUGCGAGAGGUAUGCGGAAUGCGUGGUGUAGCGGUGAAAUGCAUAGAUAUCACGCAGAACCCCGAUUGCGAAGGCAGCAUACCGGUGCACAACUGACGCUCAGGCACGAAAGCGUGGGUAUCGAACAGGAUUAGAUACCCCAGUAGUC